UUAUCUUCUCUAAUAUUUACAAAUCUUGGAGAAAAUUCCAUAAUUAUAACAAAACCCUGACUAAACAUUGUCAAGACCCCUUCAGAUAACCACCAGAUGCUAAUGCUGGCUAACCCAUCUCCGCUGCUGGUUGCCAUCAUAGAGUCCUGAAACAAAUCCGAGAUAUUAUGACUUUAUAACACUAUGCAGAUAUGACUAAACUGCAUGAAUCCAUGAUUUCAUCUUAAAGAACCAGCAGGUCCCACAUUUGAAGAACACUAAACGACUCUCAUUUUCAUACCAUUUUCCACUAAAUUGACAGUAGAGGGUCCAGGAGAGGCCGGUUCGUUCAAGAACAUGGUAAGACACCACCCAAUGCGGCUGGAGAGUCCGACAAUCCAGGUCCAGGCAGAGAGAAUAUUUCCUAUUUCUAAGGAGAGCUGCACCUGAAAGAUACCGUCCCGGGUUGCAUGCACGAGACGGCUGGCAUAUUUUGCCAUGAUACAUCAAUUUGUUGUACAUCAAAACUUGAGAACAUUCGCCUCAAAUCCAGCGAGACAGCCUCUGCGACUUGCUGCACUCCCAAAAGUCUAGGUCCAGCAACUCAAAAAAAUGGUUGAAAAAGUUUAGGGGUAGACAAAGACCUACAUUCCACCUGUAGGAAUGACAUGGCAGUACGGACUUCAAUGCUCAGGAUGUGCUUACUCCAGCUUCUUCUGAUCGAACCAGAAAUACUUUUCGUUC
rnacentral:lncRNA from 1 species